rnacentral:ribozyme from 1 species
AUCAGGAUUUUUAAGGUAAAAUUCCCGUAAACUAUUAAAGAAAUUACUUCUCAAAAUGUACUCAAAAUGUACUGAACGGUAGCAUAUGUUUACAAUAAUCUGAGCCUGAGUAAACGGGGAAACCUAACCCCUUGGGAGGAUGGGUGUUAUGUCCAAAUUCAGAAGA